rnacentral:rRNA from 1 species
GUUCGAUCAUGGCUCGGGGAUUGAACGCUGGCGGGAUGUUUGCCACAUGCAAGUCGAACGGCAGCACGGACUUCGGUCUGGUGGCGAGUGGCGCAAUGUGAGUAAUGUAUCGGAACGCGCUCAGUAGCGGGGGAUAACUACGCGAAAGCGUAGCUAAUACCGCAGUGGCUGGUCAGCUCCUUCGGGGAAAGCGGGGACCCCCGGCCUCGCACUAUUAGAGCGGGCCGAUAUCGGAUUAGCGAAGUUGGUGGGGUAACGGCUCACCAAGGCGACGAUCCGUAGCUGGUUUGAGAGGACGACCAGCCACACUGGGAUUCAUGACACGGCCCAGACUCCUACGGGAGGCAGCAGUGGGGAAUUUUGACAAUGGGGAAACCCUGAUCCAGCCAUCCUGCGUGUGCGAUGAAGGUUUGCCGUAAAGCACUUUUGGCAGGAAGAAACGGCACGGGAUAAUACCCCGUGCAACUGACGGUACCUGCAGAAUAAGCACCGGCUAACCACGCCAGCAGCCGUAAUACGUAGGUGCAAGCGUUAAUCGGAAUUACCGGGCGUAAGCGUGCAGGCGGUUCGGAAAGAAAGAUGUGAAAUCCCAGAGCUUAACUUUGGAACUGCAUUUUUAACUACCGAGCGAGGUGUCAGAGGGAGGUGGAAUUCGCGUAGCAGUGAAAUGCGUAGAUAUGCGGAGGAACACCGAUGGCGAAGGCAGUCUCCUGGGAUAACAUCGACGCUCAUGCACGAAAGCGUGGGAGCAAACAGGAUUAGAUACCCUGGUAGUCCACGCCCUAAACGAUGUCAAUCUAUGUAGCUGUUGGGGCCUUCGGGCCUUGUAGCGCAGCUAACGCGGAAGUUGACCGCCUGGGGAGUACGGUCGCAAGAUUAAACUCAAAGGAAUUCUGAUGGGACCCGCACAAGCGGUGGAUGAUGUGGAUUAAUUGAUGUGCAACGCGAAAACCUUACCUACCCUUGACAUGUCUGAAUCCCGAAGAGAUUUGGGAGUGCUCGCAAGAGAACCGGAACACAGGUAUGUACGGCUGUCGUCAGCUCGUGUCGUGAGAUGUUUGCUAUCCCGCAACGAGCGCAACCUUAUUAGUUACAUGAAAGGGCACUCUAAUGAGACUGCCGGUGACAAACCGAGGAAGGUGGGAUGACGUCAAGUCCUCAUGGCCCUUAUGGUAGGGCUUCACACGUCAUGGCACGGUCGGGACAGAGGGCUGCCAACCCGCGAGGAGCCAAUCCCAGAAACCUGAUCGUAGUCCGACCGCAGUCUGCAAUCGACUGCGUGAAGUCGGAAUCGCCAGGUAAUCGCGGAUCGAGCAUGUCGCGGUGAAUACGUUCCCGUCUCGCGUGGCCACACCGCCCGUCACACCAUGGCGGGUUUUACCAGAAGCAGUUAGCCUGAACUGUAAGGAGGGCGAUUACCACGGUAGGAUUCAUGAUCAGGGUGAAGUCGUAAACACGGUAGUCG